AAAACAUGAUUUACGGUCUUUAGGACGGUGAUCGAAUAGGUGACAGGGUUGGUUUUCAGCAUGCAUUGUUGCGGAACGGGAUACCGAAGUUGGAAUAUCGAAAGAAAGAACGUUAUCCGGUUUGGGAUAAUUGAUAGGUUUAUAUUUUGAUGCAGACUUUGUAGCCUUUGCAUCUCCUCCUUUAUGCUUUAAUGUCCAUGGGACACGACCCUUCAGUACAUAUGCUUCCACGGCAGAAUAAGCCAUACCACCAUAAUUACCAAGAAAUGAGUGAAAAGAUGGUCGAAUGUUUCUAACAGAAUAAAGUUCUUUGAAGACGUACGUGUUCUUUAGAUUUUCUUCAUAAUCGUUUAGAAGAAGAGGCUUACUGGCAGCGUCCCGUCCAA